AACGCGAAGAACCUUACCUGGGCUUGACAUGUUCGGAAAACCUGCAGAGAUGUGGGGUCCUUUUGGGCCGUUCACAGGUGGUGCAUGGUUGUCGUCAGCUCGUGUCGUGAGAUGUUGGGUUAAGUCCCGCAACGAGCGCAACCCUCGUUCCAUGUUGCCAGCACGUAAUGGUGGGGACUCAUGGGAGACUGCCGGGGUCAACUCGGAGGAAGGUGGGGAUGACGUCAAAUCAUCAUGCCCCUUAUGUCCAGGGCUGCACACAUGCUACAAUGGCCGGUACAGAGGGCUGCGAUACCGCGAGGUGGAGCGAAUCCCAAAAAGCCGGUCUCAGUUCGGAUUGGGGUCUGCAACUCGACCCCAUGAAGUCGGAGUCGCUAGUAAUCGCAGAUCAGCAACGCUGCGGUGAAUACGUUCCCGGGCCUUGUACACACCGUAGUAC
rnacentral:rRNA from 1 species